AGUAGAGUGCCUGAAAAAAGGGUAAUCUUGAUAGGAUUAAUUAUGUAAGGAGCCUUACCUUUACUU
rnacentral:tRNA from 1 species